rnacentral:rRNA from 1 species
UACGUAGGUGGCAAGCGUUGUCCGGAAUUAUUGGGCGUAAAGCGCGCGCAGGCGGUCCUUUAAGUCUGAUGUGAAAGCCCACGGCUCAACCGUGGAGGGUCAUUGGAAACUGGGGGACUUGAGUACAGAGGAGGAAAGCGGAAUUCCACGUGUAGCGGUGAAAUGCGUAGAGAUGUGGAGGAACACCAGUGGCGAAGGCGGCUUUCUGGUCUGUAACUGACGCUGAGGCGCGAAAGCGUGGGGAGCAAACAGG